rnacentral:lncRNA from 1 species
AGUGCUUAGACUUAAACAUAUUAAGAAAAUAAAAUGGCUCCUGGUGAAACAGAAGAAAUUUCGUAGACCUAAUAAAUUACCUUUAGAAGAAGUCGUUACCGUAUUAGGUAAUAUUUGCCUGCCACCCUAUGUGGUCCAGAUGUUAAAAAAAGGCCCCUCAUGUGCAGUAAGAACGAAGUCGACGGUUCUUGAUGAUAUACAGUCAUACGAACCUAUGCUAGAAGGAAUAGAGCUCUUAGGAAAAGAGAAGUUGCGAUGGAAAUUCGUCGACCAAAUAAACAAAGCAGCGAAAAAGAAUGUGCCGAGCCCUGGGAAUGAAAAACCUAUGAGAGAAACGUUAAACUGGCUGAAAAGCAAUAACCUACU